GUGCACGUUCGUCUUCCUCAUCAUCACCGGGUCGACGGGGAGAGCAGCUCGGGAGUGUCCCUGAUGCCGAAAGUCAUGAUGGUAACGCAGGACAUCGAAACAUUGGACAUAGCUGGACGAAUUCUGGGGUCGUCUGCAUGUCUAAUGAGCUGGCUUGCUUCAGCAACUGACGUAUGGAGAACGCACAAGUCCGGAUGCUCAGCGAGAAGACACGCAUGGGCAGAGAUGCUGAUGGCAGUGGGCAACACUGGAUACCUGGUGAUCGUGUUCUGCCACCCAUCAUUCACCCCGGGGGUAGUUUCCUACACCUUGCCCUGGACGCUAGCCAGGGCUGGGCUCGCCAUUUUCAACGUGACUACACUUGUUUUGCUGUUUCUUGGAGGACACCGUCAGUUUUACCAGAAACUGUCAGAAAAUGGAGACUGUUUGUCACUUAAGAAGUAAUUCUACUGGAAGUGAAGCCGAAGAGACUGAAAGCAUCACAUUGUGGGAAACAACAUGGAAGGAUAGUCUUAAGCCAGUCUUUGGAGCGAAGUCCUUGCAUCCACAGUCGCCGACGUGCCAGUUGACUAUAGCAGCUUGCUAUGGAGGCCAGCAGUCAACAGAAACUUCGUGCUCCAGCACCGGGGAGCAGGAUACCGAG